CUUUAGAAAGGAAACAGACUGCCCCAUUGCUUUCUUAUUGAGAGGGUUCAGAAUAGCACCAGAGAGCUGCAAACCACACUCCCUGGAGUAAAAGCCUUGCAGAUUUUCAGGACACUGCAGCCACCACACUUGGCAAGGACCCAGAGUGUGCAACAGCAACCAAAGAAGAAAAAAAUCCACUCAAUCAAGAUGAGACCAGAUACCUACGUCAAGAAACACUUCAAACAUUUGUCUGGAUCCAACUGCAAAAGCAGGAACAUGAACAACCAAGACAACAGGCCUCCUCUGGAAGUCAGCAAUUCUAUUGCCAUAAGCAAUAUUUGGGAAAAGCAGUGUAGCUGAAGCAUGAAACAGGGAAUGGGUGAUUAUUAUUUCCCCAGGAUUAAUGAUGAAAAUUAAAGGCCAUAUGGUUCAAAUAGUUUUCCAGGGUUGCACAGCUAGGUAACAGUGGUUGCUACAUUACUAUCCAGUUUAUCUGACUUCAGGUUGGUGCAUCCUAAGUACCAUGGUGCUCUAUCCCUUGCCUGGCUGCAGCCUCAGAGUACCAUUAUACUUCGCAAUAUGUAGAAAGACAAGACAUCUGUUACCAUAUUGAUAAAUGAGUGGUUCAUGUACAAAUGAAAUUUGUCCUAUAUUUUAGACCAUAUGAAACUUAAAGAGUCCAUCUAUAUAUUUCGUCCCAAG
rnacentral:lncRNA from 1 species